GUUUUAUUGACAUGCCUCUGCUUCAAAACCCCUGAAGGGACCGCUCCACCGUCGAUAACCCUGCUUCAUAAUGCAUCAGCCGCUCACAAAACUGACCAGAGGUUAUGUGGGUCAUGCCGUGGCGACGCUGGGGGACGUGCACGGAGGGACACUGGCAGACAAAUGGGAGACAGGGAGAGGCUUAACAGAUUGAAGGCCAUCAAGGACAAUACGGAAAAAUGAACAACGACUAUUGUCGGAGGAAAUGCCGCAGGAGACUGACUGAUGGACGAGCAAAACAAGAGACGGGGGGAGAUGAAGCGGAGGAGGAGGACGGGUCGUAUUUCUGUCAUGCGGCGCCGUCCUUUGUUUGCUCAUCACAUGCGGUAUCUCUGCAUGGUCCUUGUAUUCAUGUCAGAGAUAAUUAUAGGAGGACGCCGCCAGUUGCCAGAUCAGUAGAUAGCGGACGGGAGCUGCAUCUAAGCGCGGCGUCUCUUCCCCCUACUGGGUUGCCAGAUUUGCGAAUGUCUUGUAUGACGCUGCAUGAGCUCGCAGCCAUGCCUCACCUUCUGCGUGUCCUCGAAGAAUAGCGUCACUGGGCUUCAGAUUUCUUCACCGUGUUUGUCUUGAAGGUCAAUGCAGUGGAGUUUAAUCAGAUCAGUCUCUCAGAAGAGGGUGAAGAGCAAAACAGACAACUGGAAAGACGUAUAAACAAUUUUCCUGACAGCCGAGGCUUUGAGACGGCAGCACCAGGAGGGAAGAGGAGGACGACGAAGAACCGGAACGUGAAGAACCACCAGCAGCAGCAACUACCACCUCUGAAAAUGCAUUCCAGUUUGCGACAUAUUUAAAAGGAGACCCUGCAAAGCCCUCUGUCGCAAGCAUCCGGCUCGGCUUACAUCACCCGAAAGACUUAUGCUGCGCCGGAUCAGCGUAAAGCCUGACAAGAUGUCCCGGGUGAUUUGCGAGGAGAACCUCUAGAGGUGCUGAAGUGCGUCCUGCUCCGAGAGCGACCGCAGGUGAAGCCCGUGGCUUCAGCUCCGCUGCGGUUACUCCUCUGCAUUUUUUGCCGACGAAUACUCGCCCGGACUGGAGUCCUCACUCAUAUGAGGUUAAACAGAGGCUGUUUCUGAUGUGUGUCUCAACGGAUACCGUCGUAAUCUCCCUGGGUGUGUGUAUGUGCCGGGGUUUGAGGUGUGGUCACCAGGCCAAGCCCCCCGGUUUGAUUUGGGACUGCUUGCAAGAUCUUUAAUAGUUAACUAUGAAUUAAUUCAUGACAGUAAGUGAAAUGUUUCCACAACACUGUACGAUAUAUGAGGCGUGCAUUUAUCUUUAUUGGAGCCGCAGCAAAACACUAUCUCACAAGUUAUUAAUGUCAGAAAAUUGGAUGUGAGAGUCCGCUGUGAAACGGCUUCAGACAUAAAUUGUUCAAUUAAACAUCACCAGUGAAAUUGGUUGUACAGCAACGCGGGGCCGCAAAAAAAUUGAACGCCGAGAUGAAUAGACAACAAAAGUGACUUAGUAUUCAAAGUCGGUUCCAAGGGAGACUUGCCCAAGCUGUUUGCAGUGAUUUAUGGGGCUGAAUAUGUCUGAUUUGUUCUUGAGUGCACAAACUGCCCUCUCAGUUUAACAGUGAUUUGAAUGCGUCUCGGGGUUCCAACAUGGACGUUAUACGCCAGCACCGGGG
ensembl:lncRNA